UACGAAGGGGGCUAGCGUUGUUCGGAAUUACUGGGCGUAAAGCGCACGUAGGCGGAUCCUUAAGUCAGGGGUGAAAUCCCGAGGCUCAACCUCGGAACUGCCUUUGAUACUGGGGAUAUCGAGUUCGGGAGAGGUGAGUGGAACUGCGAGUGUAGAGGUGAAAUUCGUAGAUAUUCGCAAGAACACCAGUGGCGAAGGCGGCUCACUGGCCCGGUACUGACGCUGACGGUGCGGAAAGCGUGGGGAGCAACAGGGAUUAAGAUACCCGGG
rnacentral:rRNA from 1 species